rnacentral:rRNA from 1 species
AGAGUUUGAUCCUGGCUCAGAUUGAACGCUGGCGGCAGGCCUAACACAUGCAAGUCGAGCGGUAACAGGAAGUAGCUUGCUACUUCGCUGACGAGCGGCGGACGGGUGAGUAAUGCCUGGGAAUAUGCCUUGAUGUGGGGGAUAACUAUUGGAAACGAUAGCUAAUACCGCAUAAUGCCUACGGGCCAAAGAGGGGGAUCUUCGGACCUCUCGCGUCAAGAUUAGCCCAGGUGGGAUUAGCUAGUUGGUGGGGUAAAGGCUCACCAAGGCGACGAUCCCUAGCUGGUCUGAGAGGAUGAUCAGCCACACUGGAACUGAGACACGGUCCAGACUCCUACGGGAGGCAGCAGUGGGGAAUAUUGCACAAUGGGGGAAACCCUGAUGCAGCCAUGCCGCGUGUAUGAAGAAGGCCUUCGGGUUGUAAAGUACUUUCAGCAGUGAGGAAGGUGGUAGUGUUAAUAGCGCUAUCAUUUGACGUUAGCUGCAGAAGAAGCACCGGCUAACUCCGUGCCAGCAGCCGCGGUAAU